rnacentral:RNase_P_RNA from 1 species
CCAGCUGGCCGGAUGGCCGCCGGGAAGGCCUCGUCGCCUUCCGGGAGGAAAGUCCGGGCUCCAUGGAAAUACGGUGCCGGGUAACGCCCGGCGGGGGUAACCCCAGGGAAAGUGCCACAGAAAACAGACCGCUUCAGAUCCGUCCGAAGCAAGGGUGAAACGGUGCGGCAAGAGCGCACCGCGCGGCCGGCAACGGGCGCGGCACGGUAAACCCCACCGGGAGCAAGACCGAAUAGGGGCGGCAUGGGCUUCGGCCCAGGGGCAUUUUCAACCCGCCGCCCGGGUUGGUCGCGCGAAGCGCAUGGCAACAUGCGCUCCAGAUGAAUGGUCAUCCAGCGUCCGCAAGGGCGUGGACAGAACCCGGCUUACAGGCCAGCUGGCACC